GAUGAACGCUGGCGGCGUGCCUAAUACAUGCAAGUCGAGCGAACAGACGAGGAGCUUGCUCCUCUGACGUUAGCGGCGGACGUGUGAGUAACACGUGGAUAACCUACCUAUAAGACUGGGAUAACUUCGGGAAACCGGAGCUAAUACCGGAUAAUAUAUUGAACCGCAUGGUUCAAUAGUGAAAGACGGUUUUGCUGUCACUUAUAGAUGGAUCCGCGCCGCAUUAGCUAGUUGGUAAGGUAACGGCUUACCAAGGCAACGAUGCGUAGCCGACCUGAGAGGGUGAUAGACCACACUGGAACUGAGACACGGUCCAGAAUCCUACGGGAGGCAGCAGAAGGGAAUCUUCCGCAAUGGGCGAGAGCCUGACGGAGCAACGCCGCGUGAGUGAUGAAGGUCUUCGGAUCGUAAAACUCUGUUAUUAGGGAAGAACAAAUGUGUAAGUAACUAUGCACGUCUUGACGGUACCUAAGCAGAAAGCCACGGCUAACUACGUG
rnacentral:rRNA from 1 species